rnacentral:rRNA from 1 species
UACGUAGGGGGCAAGCGUUGUCCGGAAUUAUUGGGCGUAAAGCGCGCGCAGGCGGUUGGUUAAGUCUGGAGUUUAAACCUAGGGCUCAACCUUGGGUCGCUCUGGAAACUGGCGAACUGGAGUGUAGGAGAGGAAAGUGGAAUUCCACGUGUAGCGGUGAAAUGCGUAGAGAUGUGGAGGAACACCAGUGGCGAAGGCGACUUUCUGGCCUAUAACUGACGCUGAGGCGCGAAAGCGUGGGGAGCAAACAGG